rnacentral:lncRNA from 1 species
GCUAUUAACAGAAGUCAAUUAGAAUCUCAUUACAUUUCCAGUCAUACAGUAACAGCAGUGCAUUGUGGUCAAGAUAAUUGUGCCAAAGCAUGUUGGUGUGGUGCAUAAAGUUCUUCAAACUUUCAGCCUCGAAGGAGAAAAUCGAGAGGAUGUAUCGCACAGACAGACAAACAAACAGACAGACAGUAGCUAAGUUAUCCUUCAGACAAUAGUUUUCACAAGAGGAAAUUACUCAGCAACACCCCACCUUAGUGCUGCAGUGUAAGAGAUGGCAUCAGUGCAGCCGUCCGACAGAGACACAUGCAGAUCUUUUUCAAGGACCAGAAGAAAGAAGAGACAUCAGAGUUGGUGAAACUCAAAAUGAAACCAAUUGUUAUCGCAGAAUGCGGCAAACAAGUUUCUCUGCACUGCAACACCUCAUCUCAGCAGGAGUUAUCGAUCAAAUAUAUGGAGUGGUCACAGGGCAAUGCGCUGUUAUGUUCUCUGGACAAUAAAGGAACAGUUACCAAAAACCUCAGCAACUCUGGGAGGGAUUUUUCCUGCAAGUAUACAAAUGGAAGCCUGUCGCUCAUCUUGGCCAAAGUGGUUCCUCUGGAGGUCAGACACUGGAAGCCAUACAGAUGCAAACAAUACUCCACCCAGGGAAUAUUGCAAGGAUAUACCAAAGUACAGCUACAAGAGUGCAAUGGCACCAUUGAAACUGUGCUGAAGACAGACGGCCCCGCCUGCACUUUCAACCAUGUUUACCCCGACGGAGAUGUGCACUGGUUUUCCAACUCCCGUAACCUCUCUGAUUGGUCUCCGCAUAACACAACUAAACGUGUGGAUGAACAGGGUUGGUUGACCAUUCAUAGCUACUUGGAAGAGAAACACCUGCAAGGGACGUACAACUGCUCCUUGAUGAGCACCGUUUCUGGGAGACUCAUUGCCAGUGCUCUGGUUCAUCAAGCUCCAUUGACAAAGACAGUCAAAUUGUUUGAAAAAACACCCAAUAACAGCCAUCGAAUCAGAUUACUGGGGCGUACUUGGAUGGUUUCAUUGAUUUUACUUUUCUUUAUUGUCAAAAGUUAGAUCAUAUUGUUUCAAAGAAAAUUCACAACAAAAACAUGAACCAGAUGUAUGGGGUGCCUAUUGUAAAGUUGUGCAUGUUAAAAUAAACAGCAACUUUUUGCAACA